rnacentral:tRNA from 1 species
GGGCUGUUAACUCAGUUUGGUUCAGAGUGUCACCUUGACAGGGUGGAAGUCACUGGUUCGAGUCCAGUACAGCCCA